rnacentral:rRNA from 1 species
GGAUUCCUCAGUAACGGCGAGUGAACGGGGAUUAGCCCAUCACCGAAGCCCGUGUGCUUUUGCAUACAGGGCAAUGUGGUGUUAAGGCUUGCACCUGGGACUGUGAACUCACCAUAAGUCCAGCUCCGAUUCUGGCUUAUUGUGGUCCAAAGCGGGUGAAAGACCCGUGAUGGUGGGUUAUGGAAUAUAUCGCAGUCCUCAGAUGUGCGUGCCUUCGAGUCGGAUUGCUUGAGAAUGCAUUCCAAAAUGGGUGGUAUUCUCCCUCCCAGGCAUAAGACA